AUUUGCAAUAUUUUGGUUAAAGAUAACCAAAUAGGGAAUAUUAUAUAUAUAUAUUAUAAAGCACCAGUGACAUUAAUAUUAAUAUUAUUAUACAACUGCAUGAUGUGCCAUUUUAUUGGUCGAUCCCAACAUCUACAUUAAUUAGAACUGAAACACAAAAACACUAACAGCUGCCAUCUGUUGAUCAUGAAACGCAGUUGUCUCGCGAAGAACAUGCAUGCAUUAUGCAUAGCAGCAAGUCAAACUGAAAGUACGUAAUAGGCGUAAUAAAAAUAACUAGUUCUUGAAAAUAAGCCGGUCAUGCAUGUUUAGAGCAGGUGAACUUGGAGGGUGGCGCCCUGCCACAUUGUGCGAAAGUAAACUUUAUAAGCAUUCUAAGGUCCGGGAGGAACUGAGCAGGGCCAGCUGGAGAGACUUUAAGGGCAUUGCAAAUGCAGUUGGCGGCUUCAGUAGCAUCGCUGACUGUUCUAAACACCGUGCAACAUGCACCGCUUAGCGGCGCAAAACCGCAAGCACGUAGAUUCGGGCACGUUGUUGUUGGUGGUUUGGAGUUUGGGUCAGGUGUUGGUGCUGGUGCAGGACUUGGGUUCGAAGUAGUUGGUGUUGGUGCAGGGCUUGGGUUCGAAGUAGUGGGUGUUGGUGCAAGACUUGGGUUCGAAGUAGUGGGUGAUGGUGCAGGACUUGGGUUCGAAGUAGUGGGUGUUGGUGCAGGACUUGGGUUAGAAGUAGUGGGUGAUGGUGCAGGACUUGGGUUCGAAAUAGUAGGCGUUGGUGCAGGACUUGGGUUCGGAAUAGUAGUCCUUGGUGCAGGAUUUGGGUUCGGAAUAGUAGUUCUUGGUGCAGGAUUUGGGUUUGAAAUAGUAGGCGUUGGUGCAGGAUUUGGGUUCGAAAUAGUAGGUGUUGGUGCAGGAUUUGGUUUCGAAAUAGUAGGUGUUGUUGCAGGUGUUGGACUAAUUCCAAUUUUCGGCUUAGGGUUAUGGGUAUGGUUACAGUGAGAGGUCCCGGAAGCCACGGAGAAGAAGAGAAUGUUGAGUCCAAGGAUGAGAGCCAAGGUUGAGUUUGUUUUGGAAGCCAUUACAUUGCUUUAAUUUGUUUCCG
rnacentral:lncRNA from 1 species